AAGGGCAAUCGGACCCUUUCCGGUGAGGGAACCUCUCUCCAGACAUGAUCAAGAGAAACUGGCGAGGGACUGACAUGAUCUAGCUUACCUUGGGUCACCGAACGGAUUUGGCAUGUGACAUAAUUAUCCCAGCGAUCACUAAAACUGUAAAUUUGGAUGCAAUUAAGAGAGAAAACUCCACACAUUUAUGGAAAUUUAAGGUAAGAAAUUACUUGUACAGAAUUAAUUUUAUUUGUAUUUAUUCAUUUAUUGUGUAUGUGCAGGGGCAGAGUCACCUGGCCUCCAGGUAAAUAAUUAUGUUAACUGGAAUUUGAAAUGAUAAGGGAUUAGGAGUAAAGAAAAUGCAGAUUAACCUCCUGUGGUCUGAUCUACCUAUAAUCCCAACACUAGGGUGGCUGAGGCAGAAGUGUCUUUAGUUCAAAACUAAACUGGGAUACAUAGCUAAUUCAAAGCUGGCCUGAGAGAUAAGGGGAACUGGAAAGAGCACGACAUUAGUUUCAGGCGCACAAUACCCAAUGAUUCUAGAAUCCUCUACUGACAAAGCAAACUGACACAAGGAAAAAUACUUAAAGCCCAAAUCCAUUUCCACAAAACCAGUCACUAAGGGUAAAUUUUGGAGAUGAUAAUUAAGGAAGUGAUGAACUAGCAGGAAUUUUCUGUACUAAGUUUGUAAGAAGAAAGUUUUUUAAAUGUCUGUGUUCCCACAAAAAAAUAUUCAUUCUUUAGAACUAAUGCUAACGAAUCAAACACUUUGAAGUAAUUUAGAAGACAGAAUCACCAGUCUGAAUCUCUGCCUGACCACAUUUGUAUCCCCCCCCCCCGCGCCCCCACCCCGUGUGUGUGUGUGUGUGUGUGUGUACAUGUGGAGGUCAGAAGACAGCAUUUGAGAGUUGCUUUUCUCCCUCCAUUAUGUGGGUCCCAGGACAGAAUCCAGAUUGUCAGCUUGGCAGCAAGUACCUUUACCCACUGAGCCAUGUUGCUGUCUUUCUUUAACUUUUUUCAAAAUUUAGAUUAGUAAAGGAAGCAAAUUUUCAUCUAUUAUAGGAAAAAAAAUGGACUUAAGUAGAAAAAUAAGAAAUGUUGCUAGGCAUUGUGGUAUGUUCUUAUAAUCCUAGCACUGGAAAAUUCAGGGCAGAAAAAUUAAGAGUUCUGUGGCAUCUUUGCUUACACAGUGAUUUUUGAGACCAACCUGCCUACAUGAAAAUAUCACAAGAAAGAAGGGAAAGAAGAAUAAGAUAUUUAGCAAGUGGCUUGGUGGGUAAAAAUGCUUGCCACCAAACCAGCAACCUGAGGUCAGUCCCCAGAACCUACCUGGUGAAGGAGAGAACUGACUCUCUGGAGUUGUUCUCUGACCUCCACACUCUUGCCCUGGCAUGCACUUCCCACCCCCACACAAACACACUUCAUAAAUGUAAAAAAUGUUAAUAAAAAUGUUUACUUGGUAGCUGCAUUAGCUUCCUGGGGCUACCAUAACAACUUCUAAUCCAGAGGGCUUAAGAAAGCAGUGGGUUGGUUUUUUACACAUGAAAGCUAGAAAUGUAAAAUCAGCCACUGGCAGAGUUUGUGCUCCCUCUAAAUGCUCUGUAAAAGAAUCCUUUUUCCCUUUUCUAGCUUCUGCUGGAUCCUUAGCAUUCUUUGGUUUGUUGACAGCAUACUUCCAUUAUCUUCCUCCAUGUUUAGAUAACCUUUGUACAUGUGGGGCCCUGUUUCAAAUCUUAGCAUAUUGUGUAUAUACAUGAUUCUAGGGACCCACCCAGGGUCUCCCACAUUUUGGGCAAGCACACUACCACUUAAUGUGUUUUGUUAUGAGGACAGGAGUCAUUAAAUUUUAGGUCUACCUUACAUCUAGAAUGAUCUCAUCUUAAUGGCAUAAUUAUAUCUACAAAGACCUUAUUUCCAAGUAAGGUGAUAUUCACUGGUAUUGUGGUUAGAACAUGAACAUAUUUCUGAGGGGUACAAUUCACUGAACUAUCCUUUACUUUAUUAUCAUCUUUAUUUUUAUUUUUGUUUGUUUGUUUGUUUUGUUUUUUCAAGACAGGGUUUCUCGGUGUAGCCCUGGCUGUCCUGGAACUCACUCUGUAGACCAGGCUGGCCUCGAACUCAGAAAUCUACCUGCCUCUGCCUCCCAAGUGUGCCUCUGCCUCCCAAGGGUUGGGAUUAAAGGCAUGUGCCACCACUGCCUCGCUCAUCUUUAUUUUUAAAUAAAUCUUUUUUGGAGGGAGGGGGUUUCAAGACAGGGUUUUUCUAUAUAGCCUGGUUAUCCUGGAACUCACUCUGUAGACCGGGCUAGCCUCAAACUCAGAAAUCCACCUGUCUCUGCCUCCUAAGUACUGGGAUUAAAGGCAUGUGCCACCACUACCUGGCUAAAUAAAUCUUAUUUGCCAUUAUUAUAUGCAUGUAUUGAUGUGUGUGCAUGAUGUGUGUACACGUGACUUUCAGAGGUCAACUUUGUGGAAUUGGUUCUCUCCUUCCCCUUUUAUGUGGGUUCCAGGAAUUGAACAUAUUAUCCUUUUAAAAGUCAUAUUUCAGGACGAUUAAGAGUAUAUACAGCAAAACUUGACAGCCUGAGUUGGAUCCUCAGAUCCACAGAGUAGGAGAGAACUGACUCCUGUAAAGUUGGCCUCUGACUUCAACACAUGUGCAAUGGUAUUGUGCUGGUAGGAGUACAUAUACAAAGGAAAUAAACUGUCAACAUAAUUAAAAUCACAUUGCAUGAACCAAGGAUAUGGCUCAGUUGGUAAACUUCUUGGUUAGAAUGGAAGAUAAUUUCUCAAAUUUAAAAGCCAUCUAAAGAGACAAUCCUAAAUUUGAACAAGGAAAGCAGAAUAUUAAUAUUAAUAUUAAUAUUGAUCUAAAGCAGUGGUUCUCCACCUGUGGGUUAUGACCCCUUUGGAAAGGGUCACAUAUCAGAUAUCCUAUGCAUCAGGUAUUUACAUUAGAACCUGUAACAGUAGCAAAAUUAUCGUUAUGUAGCAGCAAAAUAAUGUUAUGGUUGGGAGUCACCACAACAUCAGGCAGCAUAUUAAAGGUCACAGCAUUAGGAAGGUUGACAACUAAUAGAGAUUAUGAACUCCUGAAACUAAACAAAAGUAGUAAUGAAAACAAAUGAGAAAAAAAUGGAAGGGCACUCUCAGCAGAAAAAUAGGCAGCAUUAUUAAAUUCAACACCAUAUACACAUACAUAUAAUGAAAGUGUUAGGAAGAAGAGUGAGAGGAAAUAGUUUGAAGAUACAUUGUAACAAUGUUGGAAGCCUUUGUUUAAAAGUAAACAUCCACACAGGAAGCUCAGUGAGCUACAAAUAUAAACAUUUAGUAGUGCCCACUAACCUAUUGAAAAUCG
ensembl:processed_transcript